rnacentral:lncRNA from 1 species
GGGAUAGCCUAUAUUAUUUUCUAUGAAGUUAUCCUUAUCCCAACCCAGCAACGGAUUCAAAGGCCAAAUCCAGCCUCCUGCCCUCCUUCCCCACCACGUGUCCCCAUAGCUAGUAUAUCUUCCCAGAAAAGAUUAUGAAGAGGAUUAUGGAGAGAUAUGUGCAAAAGAUUGUGGAGAGAGACAAAGUAGAGAUCUGCUACUAUCUUCUCCCAUGUGGC